rnacentral:rRNA from 1 species
GAUGAACGCUGGCGGCGUGCCUAAUACAUGCAAGUCGAGCGAACGGACGAGAAGCUUGCUUCUCUGAUGUUAGCGGCGGACGGGUGAGUAACACGUGGAUAACCUACCUAUAAGACUGGGAUAACUUCGGGAAACCGGAGCUAAUACCGGAUAAUAUUUUGAACCGCAUGGUUCAAAAGUGAAAGACGGUCUUGCUGUCACCUAUAGAUGGAUCCGCGCUGCAUUAGCUAGUUGGUAAGGUAACGGCUUACCAAGGCAACGAUGCAUAGCCGACCUGUGAGGGUGGUCGGCCGCACUGGAACUGAAACGCGGUCCAGGCUCCUACGGGAGGCAGCAGUAGGGAAUCUGCCGCAGUGGGCGGAAGCCUGACGGGGCAACGCCGCGUGAGUGAUGAAGGUCUUCGGAUCGUAAAACUCUGUUAUUAGGGAAGAACAUAUGUGUAAGUAACUGUGCACAUCUUGACGGUACCUAAUCAGAAAGCCACGGCUAACUACGUG